rnacentral:lncRNA from 1 species
AAAAAAACAAAAGCAGUUUUCCCCUGAUCCUCAAAUGAAGUUAUACCGCUAAAAUUUAAACUAUGUGACUUACAGCAAGGCUUUGUUUUCUCUGUUGUUUGUCUUCUUAUAAGGAUGCAAAAGAGUUCUUAUCUCAAAGGCAAUAAGAGAAUGUUCAACCAUAUGGACUAGGUUCUCUCUUUGUACUUUCAUGUGGUUUCUGGGGAUUGGGCUCAGGUCAUUAGGCUUUCAUAGCAAGUACUCUUCUCUAUGUGCUGAGCCAUCUAACCAGCUCCAGGAUGAUCUUUGAAAACAACGUACAUCUGACCUUACUGUCCACUUGGUUAAAACUUGCCAAUAGCUAUCUAGUUAAGAAUAAAAUCCUACCUGCAUGGAGCUCCUCCAAUUUCCCUCUUGUUUACCCCUUAAUUUUAGCAGCUCUUCUGAAAAUUCAGUUAGCACAUAUUGAUUGUAUAAAUUUUAUGUAACAGUAAUUAUUUUAGGUGCAUAAGGUUCAAUAUGGACAAAAAAGAAGUUGACCCUAUUGGCAUAUAAAAUCUAAUUGAAAGAGUAUGAUAAUGUAUCUAUAAUAUUAAUUUUACAUAAUUGAUAAUUACCAUAAGUAUAUUAAAACAAUGGGUAGAAUUUGUUGAAAGAACUAGAAGUACUUAGAGAAGGAAAGUUUGUUUUACACUAAAUAUAAGUGGCUAUGGCUAAAAACCAUGGAAUAUAGUUUAUCUUAAACCAUAUUUCCAAUGGGGAAGCACUUUUAUUUAUUUAUUUUUGGUUACAUAACAACAAAUAUCUAGUGGUGAGAAGAGAAGGGAGGCAGGUUACAGAAAAACAGAAGAAACUUUGCUAUAGGUUUCAGAUUCUGUUUGAUGACAUUCUUACAUUUUGGCUGGUCUAAGCUAACGAUCUCCUAAUAUGUUUUAAAUAUUUUCCAUGAAGGUAUAUUAGGUCAGAAAGAGAUGAGUAAAACACAUAUAUCAAGGCCAAUAGAUGGCCCAAGACAGCUUGGCUUCUGUUUUGCAAUAGUCCAGCUCUCUACAGUCACAAUGCUGUAAGCAGUCUAUCAGCCUUUUAAUAUCUCCAAAGCAAGUAUAGCUGUUUCUGGAAAUUCAGUUUAUAGUUAUGUGUUUGUUUUCCCUCCACAGUUUGUUAAACAUUCAGAUUAUUUUCUUAACAACUGUAAUUAUCCCUACACUUGUAGUCUUCAAAUAUAUUUUGAUACGCUACUCAGCCGUCUAUAGAAUACACAAAAUUUUCUGACUUGCUUAUUUUGUUUCAUUUUCAUUCCCUGACUCUCAUUUGCCACAGCAUCGUUAUUCAGUGAAAUAACUUGUUUGCUUUAUUCCAUGUGGAUAGGGACUAUAUAAACAUUGAGAAGUUGGGUAGGACAUAGGGGUAGUUGUUAGCAUUCUGUCUAAGCCCUGCCUCACAGUUACCUGGCAACAGCCAGAUAUGGUCCCCCCCACCCCCGCCCCCAGUUACCUGGCAACGGCCAAGUAUGCCUGACUCACUAUAAAAGGGGCUGCUUACCCCCUCCUUGCUGUCUUGUUCUCUUCCUUUCUCUUACUCUUGCUUUCCCUUUCUCCCUCUCUCCCUAUUCCCCUCCUCCCUCUCUCUCUACAUGCUUAUUGCCUACAUCUGCCCCCCCUUUCUCCACCUCAACUACCCUCUUAACUCCCCUCCCCAUGCCCUAAAUAAAUUCUAUUCUAUACUAUAUACCAUUGUGUGUUGCUGAUUCCUCAUGUGGAAGGGAUGCCUCAGCAUGGGCCCACUGAGGCACCCCCUUCUCCCAUGUUUCACCACACCUCCAGAGAACAUAUCUCCCCUCUUUUUCUCUUUUUUUAUAAACACAUUAGUAGGUGUUUUCUUUUGGCUCAGUUUGAUUUAGUGAUGCUCUAUUUGGACAGGAAAAGAUUCCAGAUGUUGUAAUAUGUGACUGAUACCCUACUGAUCCUCUCAGUGGGAUAGCAUGGUUAUAUGUUCCAGAGAAAGUACAGAAACUAGAGAGCAGCUUUUCUCCUGCCAGUGUCAAGUCUGAGAUUCCCUGGGUCUGAGUUUAUUCAACCUUAUCAGUUCUGCUGACAGGUGGGAUAGCCCACUUUCCCUAAACUCCCUUUUGUUUUAUAAAGGAGAGGUGUCAUUGGAAUAACUGUCUCCUAUGUUGGGAAUGGUUUGGUAUUGAACCGAAACCUUAUUAGGUCUUAGCAGUGCUUUUCAUCUGCUGUUUUUGAAAUUGGAUAAGGCAGUAUGAUGGAAGAAGCAGGGCUUCAAUGGCCAGUAUGGGGCCAAGAAAGAGAAGAAGCUAAGCUACUAAAGAGUUUGAUAACCAUGGGGUAGGGGAUUUGGAAGCAUAGCAUGGCCAAUGAUCUCCACAGAGAUCUUUUGCAUUUACAUGUCUUGUUCUAUCAUUGGAUUCAUUGACAUAGAAGCAACAUUUCUCCCUCAGAAAAGUACAAGUCCCUCCCUGUUUAGCAGAGCAACUCCUACUAAGGACAUCAUCUAGCAUUGAAGGGACUCAAGACUGUCUGCAGUGGAAGCCAUUACCUGGUCAAGUUUGUUCUGACACUCACUGGCCAGGUGUUGUGUUUGGAUGAGGUUCUGCUCCAAUGGUUCCUGCAAGCCUAGUGAGAAAAGGAAAACCAGUCUGAUGAGCAGAGGGACGAAGAUAACACUUUUCCUUUGGUCUCCUCCCAGCUCUAACACAUGAUUUUUGAGUUCAUACAAAUAACUCUACAGAAAGAUAUUAUGGGGAUGGGCAGAAACCUUGAAAACAGGGGUUAAUACAGGAACUGGUAUUGCUAUCACACAAGAGAAAAGCAAGGGGUUUAGCAUAUAUUGGUUUGGUAAUGGUGUUGUAGGAUGUGGCCUUGAGGAGGGUCCUACAAGGCAAACGAAGAAGGGCAGAUCAAAGAGAGAAAUGCCUCAUGAUUUCAUGUGGUAAGGACCCAUGGCUUUCAUGAAUGGAAAUGUUAAUGGGAACAAUUUCCAAUAGCAGUCAGGAGAGGGAAGC